GUUGAACGCUGGCGGCGUGCCUAAUACAUGCAAGUCGAGCGAACGGACGAGAAGCUUGCUUCUCUGAUGUUAGCGGCGGACGGGUGAGUAAUACGUGGAUAACCUACCUAUAAGACUGGGAUAACUUCGGGAAACCGGAGCUAAUACCGGCUAAUAUUUUGAACCGCAUGGUUCAAAAGUGAAAGACGGUCUUGCUGUCACUUAUAGAUGUAUCCGCGCUGCAUUAGCUAGUUGGUAAGGUAACGGCUUACCAAGGCAACGAUGCAUAGCCGACCUGAGAGGGUGAUCGGCCACACUGGAACUGAGACACGGUCCAGACUCCUACGGGAGGCAGCAGUAGGGAAUCUUCCGCAAUGGGCGAAAGCCUGACGGAGCAACGCCGCGUGAGUGAUGAAGGUCUUCGGAUCGUAAAACUCUUUUAGUUGGGAAGAACAUAUGUGUAAGUAACUGUGCACGUCUUGACGGUACCUAAUCAGAAAGCCACGGCUAACUACGUG
rnacentral:rRNA from 1 species